GAAGAAGAUAUAGCCGUUUAGAGAGAGAGAGAGAGAGAGAGAGAGAGAGAGAGAGAUCUUAGCUUGAACGGGUUUGAAUCUAAGGGCAUCCAUUAGAUUCUUCUCCGGCUUCUCUCACCUUCCUUCGCGAUCUUCCAUGGAUGCAGACUCUGAUUAGUGUAUGUUUAAUGGUUUCUUUGAGAAAAGCAGAGCAGAAACUUAGUUUAGUGUUCUUGGCGAAUGGGUUCUUCUCAAAGGAAUGUACAUAUUGGCACAUACAUGCAUACCAUACAUACAUGCAUUCAUACAUUCAUAUGCACACAUACAUACUUGCAAACCUGUUUAUUUCUGUAGAUUCACACUUACUUUCCGUUCGUCUGUCUUUCUUUGUUAGAUUUUGUUUAGCUUAUACUUUUUGAUCCUCUACUUAUUUACAUGCCUGUCUGCUUCUUUUAUUGUGGCUUGCGUCCUUGACUCUUUGUUCCUUAUUUUCUGUUUAGAUUCAUUGCUGAUUGCUCCGUUUAGUUACUUUUUUUCUUCAUUUGUUGUCUACUUUCUUUGCUUCCUUCCUUUUCUGCGUGCGUCGUUGCUGUCUUUGUCUCUUCCUUGUUUUCUAUUCUUUGUUUGCUUCUUUUAUUUUCGUCCUUGACUCUGUACUAGUUUCCUUUCACUUGCUUCCUUUCUUACAUGCUAACUUCUUCUUCACAUACUCAGAUUGUUUAACUUCUCUACUUACUUUCCUUAACUUCCUUCCUUACUAACUCUUUAGUUCGCCUUCUCAGUUGUUCCUAUAGUAUCUAAACAUAGUUUCAGGUUACUCUGUGAACAGUACAUACCACAGAUGGCCCUGAGCGUUACUUAAGAAAAAAUCCUUCUCUUCAUCAACAUUGCUGCCACAUAUAACCAUCCCUUAGCUGAAUCAGAUAAGCAGAUUGAGACUCUUGAAUGGUCAUAUUCCAUGAAAAUAUUUGCAUCAAACUUUGGUUCUUGCUGAUGUUUCAGGAGAAUUUUAUGCCAACAACUCAAGACAGGGGCAUAAAUGGACGGAGGAACUUAGCUUCAACCUACACUGAUGCCAAUAAGGGAAGAAGUAGAGCUUUUAAAAGGCAGAGUGGAGCUAAUCACAUAAUAAGAGGUCUUAAAACUGCUUCGCCUGCUCCUAACAAAGCAAUAAAAGACACAGUACCUUGUUCCAUAAAGUAAGCCUUGUGCAGUGUACAUCUUCGUCUAAGGAUGUACCUGUAUCAGAUUAUGUUGUGCAAAACGAUAUCCAAUAUGCAGUAGAUGGAACUUCUAAGAGCUCACAGCAAGAUCAGUGGUUAUUGCCACUUCUAAUUGCGGUAGCCAGUCAAGGCUGAAAUUGUGAUGAUCCACUCAAAAUACGCUUAUUCAAAAGUCAAGAACAUGUGGCCAAAUGUUCAUGCUCACUGGGGGUGUUUACUCAAAGCAUAUAAGUCUUUGUUUAAUGAGUGUUAUUAACUUAUUAUCGUUAAGUCUUUGGCUAGAAUGCAGACUCAUUGAUUAUACUUGCGCGUUUUAUAGGUACUACAUUGUCCUCUUUGGUGCCUCAACUCUCAAGUAGUCUUGGUAUCUUCUCUCAGCUUCGUUGAGAAAGGAGCUCUCUUUCAACAGACUCCGCCAUCAAAGGCUCAACGACGGCCCUUAGGUGGAUUCUUUGUAGCUGUCCCAAUCUACUUUGGAAUCUCGUUUAGAAACUCUUGCGUUUAAGACAUGUUAGAAGAGAAAAAUGUCUCUUGAGUUGUAACGGUGGUGAACUACAAAGAAGCGAUGAGCUUAAAAGGCUAAGGAGUCCUUGAAAGUAGGAGAUAUAAUUUAUAGACAAUGAUGCGCAGCCGCCUGCCUAGAAAGAAAGCUUUCAUUGCAGUGAAGAAGAGCACAAAUUCGUUUGCAGUUUGGUGUCAUACAAGGUAUGCUUGCUUCGUCGUCCCUCAAUGAACAGGGACUACAUCAAGUGAUGGCUCAAUGAUGGCCUUAGGGAUAUUUCCUGUGAAAAAAAAACACCAUUGUUCCGUGCAGGCUUGCCACUGUUUCUUCCGGAGAAGCUCUUGCAGUACGAAGUUGGAAGACGUAGAAUAUCCCUGUUCAAGCUGUAUAUGGCGUAGAGGUGGAGGUAUAGUAUGAAUCUUUUGAGACUGUUCUGUUUGAACAUUUCAAGUGGAAGACAGUCCGUAUGAUCCAGAGCAGAUGGUUUUCAUGAAUUACGGAGAGUAUGCGAACCAGAAAGUUAGGAGCUUUAGAAGCUGAGUAUCCAACGUUUCUGUACGCCAUGCCUAUGACAAAGACAAGUGUUCUUUGAGGAGACAUGUCUAGCCUCAAAAGAUGUCAUCAUGCCCAUUGAUUUGCUAAAAACGAAGCUCAUGUUAAGAGUUAAAUCUAUACAAGACAAAAAAGUAAAGCUCGACUUUGUUGAACAACAAUGAAAAUCUUCUGUUGGUUGGCUUUGUUAAUUACAUGAAUGGUCUUAUAUCCCAGUCAGUGGUUCCUUGCCAAAAGAAUCUCACCUUUGGUGCUGCAGCUAGCAUGGUACAUCCCGCAACAGGCUAUUCAGUUGUGAGAUCUUUGUCUGAAACUCCAUAAUACGCAUCAGUCAUCGCGGAGGUACUAAAACAUGAUACUUACUUUCUUCACCAAACACAUCAACAGAAUGGUCAGAUACUCCGCCCAGGUGAUGUGUUGGUUCUUCCAAGAAACCUGCACCAAAAAUGAUGAAAAGUGUUAUAUACAUGUACCAUACCGAAUAAGAGAGUUGGGAGUGCAAGAAGUACUUGCAUCAUUUAACUAACAAAGCUUCACCAUUCAGGUAUUCAGUCUCGUUCUUUUUAUCAGGUCUUACAUUUUCCCCCUAUGAUUUGCAAGAAGAACUUGUACAAUCGAAAUCACAACGACGCUAUCCACAGAAAGUGUGAUCGUUGUGAUUUCAGAACACCUUGCAUACAUUCAUGCGUUCAUGCAUACAUGCAUCAGUUACAUGCAUACAUACAUGCAUACAUAACAUACAUACAUACAUACAUACAUACAUACAUUCAUAUAUCUUUGUUUUUUUUUUGUUUGGUCCACAGAAAGUGUGAUUGUUGCAAUUUCGAAACAUAAUGCAUAUAUUCAUGCAUAUCUGCAUCAUUACUAACAUCCAUACAUCAUAUAUAUUUGAUUCCUUGAUGCACAUAAAGUUUGACUAUUGUGAUAUGGGAACACAUUGCAUACAUUCAUGCAUUCAUGCAUUCAUGCAUAUAUAUCUUCUUCUUUUUUGGGUAAAAUCAUUCAUGCAUAUUUGAUUCCUUGAUUUCUUGUUUUGUUCAUUUAUUUCAACGGUGCUUCUUUUCUUACUUCCUUAUUGGUCAACUUGUUUACUUCCUUCUUUGAUUCAUAUGCUUUGUUCAUUACGUGUUUCUCUGCUUAGUGAUUUGUUGCUUCCUUGAUUUUAUGUUUAGAUCAUUGCUUGCUCUACUUCUUUUUUUUUUUUGGUAAAAAUCCUUUUUUUUAUUUCUCCUUUUUACUUUGAUUGCUUAUUUGAUCUCUUCUUUUCAAUGCUUACUUUCUUUGUUUUUUUUUUUGCUUCCUUUGUUCUUGAACUAAUUUUUAUAUACAGCUCUCGAAUUAUUAUUUUUAAUUUAUCAUUACUAUCAUACAACUUAUGUAAGUUUUAGUUUAUAUGUAUGCAAAUUACGUUUUAUAACACUACUAAGUUAUACAAAAUCCAGUAUGCUAAAAUAUUGGUUAUAUAAUUUAUGUAAGCUCUAGUUUAUAUGUAUGAAAUUAUGUUCUUAAGGGCAAUUUUCUCAAAUAAUUAUUUUUUAGUUUUUGUCACAAAAAUAUUUCUUAAAAAAGAAAAUGACCAAAAUAGUCUUUUUUUAUUUUUCAUUUUCAUUUUUAUUUUUUAUUUUUUAAAAUUUGAAACCAUAUACCCCUAGGGUAAAAAUAUACUUUUACCAUUUAAUAAAAAAAAUUGUCAUUUUUUUCAAUGAGGGCUUUUUUUAUGACAAAAACUUAAAAAGAACUAUCUUAAGAAAUUUUUCUAUAUUAUAUAUAUAUAUAACCAUGUGUUCUAAAUAUUAAUUAGAUAAUUUGGAAUUAUAUAAUUUGAAAAAAUAAAAUUGAUAGUAACAUAACUUAUUGAUGAUACCCAGUUAGAAUUCAAUUGGUCAAUAUUCAGUAAAAAACUUUAUCAGUACAUUUAAGUAUAUACUAGGUGAUUUUUCCGUGUUCAUGCACGGAUACAAACAUUUAUGUAAUGAUUGAAUUAAAACAAUUGAUUAAAAAAAUUCUUUGUUUAUAACUUUUAAGUUAAUUUUUAAUCUCUAUAAUAUUAUUUGAAAAGUCAGAUUAUUAUGUAUUAUUAUGUUCCCAUCUUAAUUGGAUAUAUGAUUUCACAUAUAAUAUUUUGUAUAGUUUCAAAUAUUUAUUUUUGUGUUAAAUUAUAUAUAUUAUUUUAAAUUAAACAAUGAUUUUUAAUUAUAUUGAAAUUGGACUAUUAUUUUCUUAAUUUCAUGUAGUUAAGUUCAUUUUAUUAUAUUUGUAAAUAUAUUGGUGUUUUUUUGUAUAAAUGGGUAUAUAUUUUUUUAGAAAAUAGGAAACAUAAAUAUUAAAUCAGAAUUGCAUUAAAAACAUAACUUGUAAUAUUUAAAAAAUUCAUACAACAGAACACUACUACACACUAAAUCUUAAUAAUUGUUUGAUUUGAUUUUUCAUAAUUUAGUAUAUUGAAUUGUAUCGAUUUUUUUAUCACAAUUUUUUUGGUUACACUACAAAUAAAAUAACAAAGCUUCACCCCUUCAGGUAUGGCAGUAAUGCUUUAUACAAAAAAAAAUGAGUUUCUAUGUGAUUUCUGCACAUUAAUAAAGAAACUUAAAAACUACAUUGUGUUACACGUUUAACCGUUUUGUCAUGUAAAAAAUUAUUUUUAUAACUGUUCUCAACAGAUUUGUAAUGAAGUAGUAAUUAAUAUAUCUAACGAAAUAAGAAAAUGUAUUGUAAUUAUUGUUGUAAACUAGUUUGAAAUUGGGAACUCCUGAACCUUCCAAACUUACAUUAACUGUAAAUUGUAUAUCAGAUCGAUUUAGAUCAACCUAUAAAAUUAAACCGAUAUCUGA